AGCCCCGGGGUGUUACACACUAGAUUGCAAACCUAGGGAAGUAGGCUCAUACCCUGCCGGGGCUU
rnacentral:tRNA from 1 species